AUGGAGGAGCAUAUAAUGCAGGCUGAAGUUCUCAACAUCACUGUUGGACAACUCCUCGAGAUCGAGCCCAUGCCUUUGCUUAGAGAGGAUGAAGUAAAACGGAAAUAUGUCCGGGGCCAACCUUUGGUCGCGCCAGACAAGGUCAAGAACCUCCCAACGAGAAUGUAUGAAUUGCAUCAAUGGUACAUGAACAUUACCAAGAUUUCAGAUCGAUUGUCCCUCAUGGUGAAUGUCAAGCAGGACCAUUACUACCAUCAGAAAGCUGUGUCCGUUGAGUAUUUAGAACUGUUUCAGUUAUACAAUCAAGACGCACUCGACAAAUCUAUCGUUAGUUGCUAUUGUUUGAUGAAGAUAUAUGAAAUGAGAAAAGGUGGACGCUUUGGCAUUGGGUUCAUUGACCCAAACACUGUUAAUGAAUACACAUGGAAGAUAAAUCAACAUUAUGCAAAGGAAGUAGAGGACAACAUGCUAGAGUUCUUGAAGCGCCUCAAAUAG
rnacentral:rRNA from 1 species